ensembl:misc_RNA Metazoa_SRP Metazoan signal recognition particle RNA
GCCAGGUGUAGUGGGCCAUGCCUGUAAUUCCAGCUACUUGGGGGUGGGGGAGGGUGAGGCAUGAAAAUCGCUUGAACCCAGGGGGUGGAGGUUGUAGUGAGCCAGUAUUGUGCCACUGCACUCUAGCUAGACAGAGUCUCUAAAAAAGGCUGCUGAGCUCAGAAAGCUGAGGUGGGAGGAUUGCUUAAGUCCAGGAAUUCUGGGUUAUAAUGCACUAGGCAUCUGCACUAAAUUUGGCAUCAUGUGGUGACCUCCCAGGAACAGGGAACCAGACCACCUGGUUGCCCAAGGAGGAGUGAACUGGCCCAGGUCAGAAAUGGAGCAAGUCAAAACGUCCAUGUUGAUCAGUAGCAGGAUCACACCUGUGACUAGCCUCUGCACUGGAGCAACAUAGUGAGAUCCCAUUUCUA